CAAUCCUGCCUCUCCAAGAGGCAGCACAGUGUCAUAGACAACAUUGAGGCAGAGGAGUCAAAACCCCAACUCCCUUCUCAGCUUUGCUCUUAACCACCAGCUGCAUUUUUGCAGCCAUCUGCCAGCAUCUGGGUGGCCCUGGGCCUCCUGUGCUGUUAGAGGAGAGAGGAAGGCUCGCUGCAUGGGGCAGCCCAAACCCCCCUGGGUGGUAGCUGCCAGAAGUCUGCUGUUUCUCUCCACUGACCAGGCAGGAGGCCUAGAGGGAUAGAUUGGCUUUCAGACUCUGGAAAUCCAAAGAGGAACCUAGAUGCAGGCAGUACAACCUCUGUUGACACCGGACACUUGGAGCACAGUCUGGGAUCACAAAGCUGAAGCCCACCGAGCCUGCUCAUAAUCAGGGAACAAGUCCUGAGCACUGCCCAAGGACAAAGCAGCUGGGGCUGCCUCCUUCAGACCUGACAAGAUGCCUCUUAAGAGGACCUAUCCAAAGAAUGAAGGACUUGGAGCUGGCCGUCUUCCUGGCUAUACAAUACACCAGCAGAAUAAUGCAGUUAUUGUCCCAGACCUUAGCCCUGAGCACACUUGCCUUUGCACGUACUGAUUCUUCAGGAGUUCGUUAAGCAUCUGCUGGUAACGGCUCUCACUGCACCACUUGCUUUCAUGGGAACUGUGAAGAGGAAGCGCAAUUUGCAGGAAAUGAAAAAGGCGCUUCCGAGAAUCGAACCCUGGAGUAAUUAACGUAUCUGAAGAAUAAACUCCAAGGAGUCUGUAACUGGGAACUGAGACACUCUGACGUGUUUGUUUAAUCACAGCAUCCACAGAAUACGUAUAGCUCAAAUUCCACUUAGCUACUGUGAUUUUAAUUAUGUUGGAUUCUGCUGAAUCCUGAGGUUUUAGUCUAAUAUUUUAAGAAAAAGAGCCGCACCUGCAGCGGAACUGGCACCUCUCCAAAUCUCAUGAGAUCAGGGUGUCACAUCAGGUAAAAAAGCAAGAAGAAAACUGAACACCACAGCUGAGAUUCUCUGUUGGCAUAUGGAAACACAGGUUUAAACUAAAAUCUUUAAAGCUAUGUCAAAGUACCUCAAAUGUUGUUCAUGCUGUCUGUACCACCCAGCCACAAGGAACCCAGAGCAAAAGCAACAACAGCAGGUUUCAACCUGAGCCUUUAUAGCUGUCUGCAAACAGUGGCUUGAAUAAAUAAGCUCAGCCGUAAAGCUUUAGUCGAAGUCAUGUGGUCAACCCAUGCUGCACCAAUGAUGAUCCACAUAAUUAAUUUUAACAAUUCAGUAACAAAAAAGAUCGUAUCUGCUGAAAAUCUGGCCCUGAAUUUUCUUUAAGAAUAACUAAGGGCAUAUUGUUCGCUGGACUCUUAUACUUGAAGAUAUUGGG